UACGUAGGGUGCAAGCGUUAAUCGGAAUUACUGGGCGUAAGCGUGCGCAGGCGGUUAUAUAAGACAGUUGUGAAAUCCCCGGGCUCAACCUGGGAACUGCAUCUGUGACUGUAUAGCUAGAGUACGGUAGAGGGGGAUGGAAUUCCGCGUGUAGCAGUGAAUGCGUAGAUAUGCGGAGGAACACCGAUGGCGAAGGCAAUCCCCUGGACCUGUACUGACGCUCAUGCAC
rnacentral:rRNA from 1 species